rnacentral:lncRNA from 14 species
UCUUUCUCCAGACAAUACUUGCACUUUCUUACCUCUGUUCUCUCUUUCUGUCUGACCUCUAUACUCAAAUAUACUCACCCCCCACUGUCCUUGUCUUACCUAUUUUUCAGGCACCAGGCUUAGGUCUCACAUAUUUUCUGAGACUUUCUCUAUCAAUUCUUACCAACAGUGAUCUCUCCAUUUUUUUUUUCCUGAAAUUACUGUCCACAUCAGUCAGUUGGCACUUUUUUUAAACAUUUCUUGAAAUUAUGGACACUAAUUUAAGUUAUCAGUUAAUUAUUCAUGCAUGCUUGCCUUGUGUACCCCACCUGUAAACCUCUUGAGUUAAUGGAAUAUAGGUAAAAGAACACAGGAUCGAAGAUCAGAACACCCAAGUUUGGCCUUGAAUCUCAAAAGGGGGCUCAGGUGUGCCACCUUGGAUGAGUCACUCAAAUUCUUUGAGCCAGAAUUUCAUCAUCUAUGAAAUGAAGAUCAUAAUCUCAGCUUUAUGUAAUUCUUCAGGUUGCAGCGAGGCUGUGCAGUGCUAGAGUGCUAAACAAAUAUCAUUCUGUUUGUUUAAAUAAAUGGUGCUUAAUAAAUAUGUAAUAUAUGAUU